UUAGUGGCGGACGGGUGAGUAACGCGUGGAAAACCUGCCGUAUACUGGGGGAUAACACGUUAGAAAUAGGUGCUAAUACCGCAUAAGCGCACAGCUUCGCAUGAAGCGGUGUGAAAAACUCUGGUGGUAUACGAUGGUUCCGCGUCUGAUUAGCUAGUUGGUGGGGUAAUGGCCUACCAAGGCAACGAUCAGUAGCCGGCCUGAAAGGGUGAACGGCCACAUUGGGACUGAGACACGGCCCAAACUCCUACGGGAGGCAGCAG
rnacentral:rRNA from 1 species